UGGGCGUAAAGCGCGCGUAGGCGGUUGUAUAAGUUGGAUGUGAAAUCCCCGGGCUUAACCUGGGCACUGCAUUCAAAACUGUACGGCUAGAGUGUAGGAGAGGAAGGUAGAAUUCCAGGUGUAGCGGUGAAAUGCGUAGAGAUCUGGAGGAAUACCGAUGGCGAAGGCAGCCUUCUGGCCUAACACUGACGCUGAGGUGCGAAAGCAUGGGGAGCAAACAGGAUUAGAUACCCUGGUAGUCCAUGCCGUAAACGAUGUCUACUAGCCGUUGGGGGACUUGAUCCUUUAGUGGCGCAGCUAACGCAUUAAGUAGACCGCCUGGGGAGUACGGUCGCAAGACUAAAACUCAAAUGAAUUGACGGGGGCCCGCACAAGCGGUGGAGCAUGUGGUUUAAUUCGAUGCAACGCGAAGAACCUUACCUGGCCUUGACAUGUCUGGAAUCCUGUAGAGAUACGGGAGUGCCUUCGGGAAUCAGAACACAGGUGCUGCAUGGCUGUCGUCAGCUCGUGUCGUGAGAUGUUGGGUUAAGUCCCGCAACGAGCGCAACCCUUGUCCUUAGUUGCCAGCACGUAAUGGUGGGAACUCUAGGGAGACUGCCGGUGACAAACCGGAGGAAGGCGGGGACGACGUCAAGUCAUCAUGGCCCUUACGGCCAGGGCUACACACGUGCUACAAUGGUCGGUACAGAGGGUUGCUAGCCCGCGAGGGUACGCUAAUCUCACAAAGCCGAUCGUAGUCCGGAUUGGAGUCUGCAACUCGACUCCAUGAAGUCGGAAUCGCUAGUAAUCG
rnacentral:rRNA from 1 species